GCGGCUAGGGAUUUAGAGGAAAUUCAAGAGCUGUUGAGGUUGGUCGAUGGCACUGUAAACCCUUCACUUUCUCAGAGAUUGCAAAGCCAGUGUCUCUGCAAACAGCAAGUUCUAAAUACCCAUCAACGAUUCCAGUCUCUGCUAAAAAGGUUUAAUGAAUUUGGAAAGUUUGAACUUGGAUUCCUGUGGGAUAGGUGAUGAAGGGCUUGCUAAUCUGACAGG